rnacentral:rRNA from 1 species
AUGAACGCUGGCGGCGUGCCUCAUACAUGCAAGUCGAGCGAACAGACGAGGAGCUUGCUCCUUUGACGUUAGCGGCGGACGGGUGAGUAACACGUGGGUAACCUACCUAUAAGACUGGGAUAACUUCGGGAAACCGGAGCUAAUACCGGAUAAUAUUUCGAACCGCAUGGUUCGAUAGUGAAAGAUGGCUCUGCUAUCACUUAUAGAUGGACCUGCGCCGUAUUAGCUAGUUGGUAAGGUAACGGCUUACCAAGGCAACGAUACGUAGCCGACCUGAGAGGGUGAUCGGCCACACUGGAACUGAGACACGGUCCAGACUCCUACGGGAGGCAGCAGUAGGGAAUCUUCCGCAAUGGGCGAAAGCCUGACGGAGCAACGCCGCGUGAGUGAUGAAGGUCUUCGGAUCGUAAAACUCUGUUAUUAGGGAAGAACAAACGUGUAAGUAACUGUGCACGUCUUGACGGUACCUAAUCAGAAAGCCACGGCUAACUACGUG